rnacentral:rRNA from 1 species
GUGGGGAAUUUUCCGCAAUGGGCGAAAGCCUGACGGAGCAAUGCCGCGUGAGUGACGAAGGCCUUCGGGUUGUAAAGCUCUGUCUUCAGGGACGAAACAAAUGACGGUACCUGAGGAGGAAGCCACGGCUAACUACGUGCCAGCAGCCGCGGUAAUACGUAGGUGGCAAGCGUUGUCCGGAAUGACUGGGCGUAAAGGGCGUGUAGGUGGAUUGAUCAGUCGGAUGUGAAAUACCUGGGCUUAACCUGGGAACUGCAUUCGAUACGGUCAGUCUUGAGUGCAGGAGAGGGCAGUGGAAUUCCCAGUGUAGCGGUGAAAUGCGUAGAGAUUGGGAGGAACACCAGUGGCGAAGGCGGCUGCCUGGACUGUAACUGACACUGAGGCGCGAAAGCGUGGGGAGCAAACAGG